GACGAACGCUGGCGGCGUGCCUAAUACAUGCAAGUAGAACGCUGAAGAGAGGAGCUUGCUCUUCUUGGAUGAGUUGCGAACGGGUGAGUAACGCGUAGGUAACCUGCCUGGUAGCGGGGGAUAACUAUUGGAAACGAUAGCUAAUACCGCAUAAAAUUGAUUAUUGCAUGAUAAUUAAUUGAAAGAUGCAACUGCAUCACUACCAGAUGGACCUGCGUUGUAUUAGCUAGUUGGUGAGGUAACGGCUCACCAAGGCGACGAUACAUAGCCGACCUGAGAGGGUGAUCGGCCACACUGGGACUGAGACACGGCCCAGACUCCUACGGGAGGCAGCAGUAGGGAAUCUUCGGCAAUGGGGGGAACCCUGACCGAGCAACGCCGCGUGAGUGAAGAAGGUUUCGGAUCGUAAAGCUCUG
rnacentral:rRNA from 1 species